rnacentral:rRNA from 1 species
CCUACGGGAGGCUGCAGUGAGGAAUAUUGGUCAAUGGGCGAGAGCCUGAACCAGCCAAGUCGCGUGAAGGAUGACGGCCCUACGGGUUGUAAACUUCUUUUGUCAGGGACCAAUUGGGUCCACGCUUUGGCUUAGCAAGAGUACCUGAAGAAAAGCCAUCGGCUAACUCCGUGCCAGCAGCCGCGGUAAUACGGAGGAUGCGAGCGUUAUCCGGAUUUAUUGGGUUUAAAGGGUGCGUAGGCGGAAUAUCAAGUCAGCGGUAAAAGUUCGGGGCUCAACCCCGUCGUGCCGUUGAAACUGAUGUUCUUGAGUGGGCGAGAAGUAUGCGGAAUGCGUGGUGUAGCGGUGAAAUGCAUAGAUAUCACGCAGAACUCCGAUCGCGAAGGCAGCCUACCGGCGCGCAACUGACGCUCAUGCACGAAAGCGUGGGUAUCGAACAGGAUUAGAUACCCCAGUAGUC